GCUCAUCAUCAUCAUCGCGCCUCUCAUAAGCCGGCUUCUCGUAGCCCUCCUCUUCUUGCCCCUCAUUACUUGGCCUCCCAUAACUAGGCCUCCUCGGUGGCUCCUCCACCUCCGGACUCUCGUAGCUCGGCCUCCCAUACUGUGGCUUCCUGGGGGACCCUUCCCCACCAUAACCAUACCCGCCACCUUGUUCCUCUCCGAAGCUAGGUUUCCGACCGUACCCAGAUCCAUAUUCAGAACUCGGUGCUUCGUACUCAGGCCUCCGACCAUACCCAGAUCCAUACUCCGAACUGGGCUGCUCGAACUCGGGCCUCCGACCAUACCCAGAUCCAUACUCCGAACUAGGUUGCUCGUAUUCAGGCUUCCGACCGUACCCAGAUCCAUAUUCCGUGCUAGGCUGUUCGUAUUCAGGCUUCCGACCGUACCCAGAUCCAUAUUCCGAGCUAGGCUGUUCGUAUUCAGGCUUCCGACCGUACCCAGAUCCAUAUUCCGAGCUAGGCUGUUCGUAUUCAGGCUUCCGACCGUAGCCAGAUCCAUAUUCCGAGCUAGGCUGUUCGCAUUCAGGCUUCCGACCGUACCCGGAUCCGUACUCCGAACUGGGUUCCUCGUAAUCAGGCUUCCGCCCAUGCCCAGAUCCAUACUCACCCUCCCCACCAAAACUCGACGGCGGCUUCGGCUGAUACCCAUACUCACCACCAUCACCACUGCCUCCGAACCCUCCUUGGCCAGGAGGUGGUCCGGCGUAACCAAGGACCGGACGAG
rnacentral:lncRNA from 1 species